UGCAUUCACUACUGUAAGUCGCUCUGAAAAGAGCGUCUGCUAAAUGACUGAAA
rfam:Salmo salar isolate Sally breed double haploid chromosome ssa01, whole genome shotgun sequence.